rnacentral:rRNA from 1 species
AGGGGCAUCGGGAUUGAAGCUUGCUUCAAUUGCCGGCGACCGGCGCACGGGUGCGUAACGCGUAUGUAACCUACCUAUAACAGGGGCAUAACACUGAGAAAUUGGUACUAAUUCCCCAUAAUAUUCGGAGAGGCAUCUCUCCGGGUUGAAAACUCCGGUGGUUAUAGAUGGACAUGCGUUGUAUUAGCUAGUUGGUGAGGUAACGGCUCACCAAGGCAACGAUACAUAGGGGGACUGAGAGGUUAACCCCCACACUGGUACUGAGACACGGACCAGACUCC